rnacentral:rRNA from 1 species
GACGAACGCUGGCGGCGUGCUUAACACAUGCGAGUCGAACGAUGAAGCCCAGCUUGCUGGGUGGAUUAGUGGCGAACGGGUGAGUAAUACGUGAGUAACCUGCCUUUAACUCUGGGAUAAGCCUUGGAAACGGGGUCUAAUACCGGAUACGACCAACCCUCGCAUGGGGUGUUGGUGGAAAGGGAUUUUGUACUGGUUUUAGAUGGGCUCACGGCCUAUCAGCUUGUUGGUGAGGUAACGGCUCACCAAGGCGACGACGGGUAGCCGGCCUGAGAGGGUGACCGGCCACACUGGGACUGAGACACGGCCCAGACUCCUACGGGAGGCAGCAGUGGGGAAUAUUGCACAAUGGGCGCAAGCCUGAUGCAGCGACGCCGCGUGAGGGAUGACGACCUUCGGGUUGUAAACCUCUUUCAGCAGGGGAGAAGCGAAAGUGACGGUACCUGCAGAAGAAGCGCCGGCUAACUACGU